rnacentral:rRNA from 1 species
UUUUAUUUCAUUAUAAAAAUAAUUUAUUUUUUAUAAUUAUAAAAAAUAAUUUUUAUUCUAGUAUUUUUUAAAGAAAAAAAUACUUUUAUUCAUUUUAACUGUAAAGUUUUAUUAAAAAUAUAAUUUUAGAAUUAGAUAGUUAUUUUACCUUUUGUAUCAGGGUUUAUCAAUAUUUUUAAUCUAUCUUUAUUUUCCCGAAAAAUUGUGAUAUAUAUAAAUAUGUUUUUUUAUGUGACAAUAUAAUUUGUAAUAUUUAUAUAGAAGAUAUAUUCUUUUCAUACAAUAUAUAUCUGGUUAUCUUAGAGGUGUAUUCAAUACAUAAUUAAGUGUUUAUUUUUCUUUGAUUUAUACUUAAUUUUAAUAGAAUAGGGAUAAGCUUAUUUUAUAAUUUUAUAUAACUUAUUUAUAAUAAUUCUAAGUAGGGUUAGAAAUACCCAUCUUUCAUUUUGUUAAAAUAGAUUUUUAUUUUUUAUUUAUUUCUUUCUUAUUAAUUUUUAAUAAGAUAACUAUGUCAAAUUUUUUGACAUGGUUUAUUAUGAUAGAAUUAGUAUUUUGUUAAUUAGAUAAUAGUAACUCGGCAUAUAAUACUUUCACCUGUUUAACAAAAACAUGGUCUUAUGAGUUUUAUACAAGAUCAGGCCUGCCCAAUGAAAUAACUUAAUGGCUGCAGUAAUUUAACUGUACAAAGGUAGCAUAAUCAUUUGUCUCUUAAUUGGAGUCUGGAAUGAAUGGUUUGAUGAAAAGUAUACUUUCUUUUAUCUACAAAAAUAACUUAAUUUUUAAGUGAAAAAUCUUAACUAUUUUUAAAGGACGAGAAGACCCUAUAGAACUUUAUUUUAUAAGAAAUAUAAUAAUAUUUAGAUAUUUAUUUGAUUUUAUUUUCAUUAAAAUUUUGUUGGGGUGACAGAAAAAAAUUAAAAACUUUUUAUUUUUUUAGACAUAUAUUUAUGUAUUGAUCCAUUAUUAUAGAUAAUAAGAUUAAGUUACCUUAGGGAUAACAGCGUUAUUAUUUUGUAGAGUUCUUAUCGAUGAAAUAGUUUGCGACCUCGAUGUUGGAUUAAAAUUAGCAGUAGGGGUAGAUUAUUACUGUUUGAGUCUGUUCGACUUUUUUAUUUUUACAUGAUCUGAGUUCAGACCGGCGUGAGCCAGGUUGGUUUCUAUCCUUAAUUUAUUUUAUAAGAUUAUAGUACGAAAGGACCUGAUUUUAAUAAUAUAUUUAUU